rnacentral:lncRNA from 1 species
CCGAUAUCCGGAUAGAUCGAAUGAAGGCAAAGCAACAUUCAAGAACCUAUUGGCAUAUGGUUACCGUAUAAUUCAUCUCUUUGAUCCUAAUACUCAAGGAUGAUUAGAAUUUAAUUGUCAAUCCUAGAUAAGUCAUUCAUAUUGUAUUUCAAUCUUUUUCAAAUCCAUCAUAUAGAUUAUCUGAGCUCAGAUUUUGCUAAAUUGAAAUGCAUUGAUAUAUUAACUCCUAAUUCGGAGGGAUUAAUAUCAUCUUAACUCAUGCACCGACUUGACAAGUACUUGACUGCAUCCAGAAAUCUUUCAUCACUGGAUUAGAAACUCAAUUAGUCCGACACCAAAAUACAGUGAGUUGCUUGUAAGUCAUCAUGUGAUC